GACGAACGCGGGCGGCGUGCUUAACACAUGCAAGUCGAACGGAGCGAAUGAAAGCUUGCUUUUAUGAGCUAGUGGCAAACGGGUGAGUAACACGUAGACAACCUGCCGACAGGAUGGGGACAACAUUCCGAAAGGAAUGCUAAUACCGAAUGAAGCGGAGGAGAGGCAUCUCUCUUCCGUGAAAGAUGGCCUCUUUUUAUGCUAUCACCUGUUGAUGGGUCUGCGUCUGAUUAGCUGGUAGGUGAGGUAACGGCUCACCUAGGCGACGAUCAGUAGCCGGUCUGAGAGGAUGAACGGCCACAUUGGGACUGAGACACGGCCCAGACUCCUACGGGAGGCAGCAGUGGGGAAUCUUCCGCAAUGGGCGCAAGCCUGACGGAGCAACGCCGCGUGAGUGAAGAAGGUCUUCGGAUCGUAAAGCUCUGUUGACGGGGACGAACGUGCGUGAUGCGAAC
rnacentral:rRNA from 1 species